rnacentral:misc_RNA from 1 species
UCACGCAGCAGAUGUUCGAUG